AUCCCAGUUCGGAUUGCAGGCUGCAACCCGCCUGUAUGAAGUUGGAAUCGCUAGUAAUCGCGGAUCAGCAUGCCGCGGUGAAUACGUUCCCGGGCCCUUGUACACACCGCCCGUCACACCAUGAGAGUCGGGAACACCCGAAGUCCGUAGCCUAACCGCAAGGGGGCGCGGCCGAAGGUGGGUUCGAUAAUUGGGGUGAAGUCGUAACAAGGUAUC
rnacentral:rRNA from 1 species